UGCAGAAGCCGUAGGGGAUUGUUCUCCAGUCUUGACUUUGAGAACUUGGUAGAGCUCCUGAAGGCUCACCUGAUAAGAGAUGUAUGUCACAAUCUGCUCACCCUGGCAUUUCUCUAAAUAGAAGGUUCAUCUGUCUGAAUAUAGAUAUCAAGAAGUGGCAGAGUAUCAGAGGAGAAAGAUAUCAAGAAAUAGAAUAUUCAAGGUACUAAUGGGAUUGUCAAUAAAUAUUAUCCCCAACUCUCAUACACCAGGACAUCCUAAGGGAGAAAUG
rnacentral:lncRNA from 1 species